rnacentral:rRNA from 1 species
GACAGAGGGUGCAAACGUUGCUCGGAAUCACUGGGCGUAAAGGGCGUGUAGGCGGGAAGUAAAGUCAGAUGUGAAAUCCCUGGGCUCAACCCAGGAACUGCAUUUGAAACUCACUUUCUUGAGUACCGGAGAGGAAGGUGGAAUACCUGGUGUAGAGGUGAAAUUCGUAGAUAUCAGGUGGAACACCAGUGGCGAAGGCGGCCUUCUGGACGGUAACUGACGCUGAGACGCGAAGGCGUGGGGAGCAAACAGG